rnacentral:rRNA from 1 species
GUUUUGUUCUGAAGCAAAGAUAUCCGCGGAGGCCGGUUCGUUUGUCCUAUUCUGAUAUUCAGGACCAAGAGGUACUGGAUUCUCUUUCGGAUAGGACCUGAAAGGAGAAGAAAGGCUGAAAUGCCAACGGACCUCUGUCUAUUAUCUAAUUCACCCGAUCCGAUAGUACCCGUUUUUGGUACCUCGACCUCGUCCACGCGCAACUCCUCCUCCCGGCACUCCUCGAUCUCCGCCGCCUCCUGCAUCUUCAGCUCCCACUCGGCGAACUCAUGA